AUCAGAUAUUUAUGUCCCGUUCGA
rnacentral:siRNA from 1 species